rnacentral:rRNA from 1 species
GUAACGACGUAAAGAACUUGCCUUACAGACUGGGACAACAUUUGGAAACGAAAUGCUAACUACCGGUAUAUUAUGAUUGGGUCGCAUGAUCUGGUUAUGAAAGCUAUAUGCGCUGUGAGAGAGCUUUGCGUCCCAUUAGUUAGUUGGUGAGGUAACGGCUCACCAAGACGAUGAUGGGUAGCCGGCCUGAGAGGGUGAACGGCCACAAGGGACUGAGACACGGCCCUUACUCCUACGGGAGGCAGCAGUGGGGAAUAUUGGACAAUGGGCCAAAAGUCUGAUCCAGCAAAUUCUGUGUGCACGAUGAAGUUUUUCGGAAUGUAAAGUGCUUUCAGUUGGGAAGAAGUCAGUGACGGUACCAACAGAAGAAGCGACGGCUAAAUACGUGCCAGCAGCCGC